rnacentral:rRNA from 1 species
AAACUAACAAGUAUUCCCCUAGUAACUGCGAGUGAAGCGGGAAAAGCUCAAAUUUAAAAUCUGGCGGGUUCCCCGUCCGAGUUGUAAUCUGGAGAAGCGUUUUCCGUGUCGGACCGUGUACAAGUCCCUUGGAAUGGGGCGUCAUAGAGGGUGAGAAUCCCGUCCAUGACACGGACUACCGAUGCUUUGUGAUACGCUCUCGAAGAGUCGAGUUGUUUGGGAAUGCAGCUCAAAAUGGGUGGUAAAUUCCAUCUAAAGCUAAAUAUUGGCGAGAGACCGAUAGCGAACAAGUACCGUGAGGGAAAGAUGAAAAGCACUUUGGAAAGAGAGUUAAACAGUACGUGAAAUUGUUGAAAGGGAAACGCUUGAAGUCAGUCGCGUCCGUCGAGACUCAGCCUUGCCUUUGGGCCUGGUGUAUUUCUUGGUGGACGGGUCAACAUCGAUUUUGAAUGGCAGAKAAAGGUCUGGGGAAUGUGGCACCUCCGGGUGUGUUAUAGCCCCUCUCCGUAUAUGCUGUUUGGGAUCGAGGAACGCAGCACGCCCUUGUGGCCGGGGUUUUACCCACGUACCGUGCUUAGGAUGUUGGCAUAAUGGCUUUAAGCGACC